UACGUAGGGUGCGAGCGUUGCCCGGAUUUAUUGGGCGAAAGGGCGCGUAGGCGGCUCGGCACGUCCGUUGUGAAAUCGCCCGGCUCAACUGGGCGGGGUCGGCGGAUACGGCCGAGCUGGAGCAAGCUAGGGGGUAAUGGAAUUCCCGGUGUAGUGGUGGAAUGCGUAGAUAUCGGGAGGAACACCAGUGGCGAAGGCGGUUACCUGGGAGCUUUGCUGACGCUGAU
rnacentral:rRNA from 1 species